rnacentral:rRNA from 1 species
GAUCCUGGCUCAGGAUGAACGCUAGCUACAGGCUUAACACAUGCAAGUCGAGGGGAAACGACAUCGAAAGCUUGCUUUUGAUGGGUGUCGACCGGCGCACGGGUGAGUAACGCGUAUCCAACCUGCCCACCACUUGGGAAUAACCUUGCGAAAGUAAGACUAAUGCCCAAUGACAUUUAUAGAAGGCAUCUGAAAUGAAUUAAAGAUUUAUCGGUGAUGGAUGGGGAUGCGUCUGAUUAGCUUGUUGGCGGGGUAACGGCCCACCAAGGCGACGAUCAGUAGGGGUUCUGAGAGGAAGGUCCCCCACAUUGGAGCUGAGACACGGUCCAAACUCCUACGGGAGGCAGCAGUGAGGAAUAUUGGUCAAUGGGCGAGAGCCUGAACCAGCCAAGUAGCGUGCAGGAAGACGGCCCUAUGGGUUGUAAACUGCUUUUAUAGGGGAAUAAAGUGAGCCACGUGUGGUUUUUUGCAUGUACCCUAUGAAUAAGGACCGGCUAAUUCCGUG